UGAUCGCAUAAAUGUGCCGCGGAUCUCUGCUAUUUAAAAUAGCAGAAACCCCACGGCUAUGGCGCCCGCUGCACGUGCGAGCGGGUGUUAUGUUUAAAGACCAGACUUCCGCCAUACAUAUACGGCGGAGGGAUAAUACAUCCCUGCUCUA